AACGCAAAUUGCGCUCGAGGCCUCCGGGUCGAGAGCAUGUCUGCCUCAGCGUCGCUCAUACCAAUCGACCCUUCACCUUUUGAAACAUAAUUGUGAUUGGGUCGGAAAUGGCCGUCCGGUUGAAUCAGCCGGUCGGCUGAAAGGACUGCUCCGCUCGCAGCCUCCCUUGAAUGGGAAGGAGCCAGCCGGUAAGCAUGACUUUCUCCGGUUGGAGAAGGCCUGGCCUGCCGUUGAGCUUUGGUUGUGGGUUUAAAGGAGCCACAGGAAUCACCUUUUGAACAUCGACCUGAGAUCAGACAAGGACACCCGCUGAACUUAA
rnacentral:misc_RNA from 1 species